GACGAACGCUGGCGGCGUGCUUAACACAUGCAAGUCGAACGGAAAGGCCUGCUUUCCCUUGUGGAUUGCGGGUACUCGAGUGGCGAACGGGUGAGUAACACGUGAGUGAUCUGCCCCCAACUUGGGUAUAAGCCUGGGAAACUGGGUCUAAUUCCCGAUAGGACUGCAGGGUGGUGCCUGUGGUGGAAAACGAUUUUCUAGUGGUUGGGGAUGAGCUCGCGGCCUAUCAGCUUGUUGGUGGGGUAAUGGCCUACCAAGGCGGCGACGGGUAGCCGGCCUGAGAGGGUGGACGGCCACAUUGGGACUGAGAUACGGCCCAGACUCCUACGGGAGGCAGCAGUGGGGAAUAUUGCACAAUGGGCGGAAGCCUGAUGCAGCGACGCCGCGUGGGGGAUGACGGCCUUCGGGUUGUAAACUCCUUUCGACCGCGAGGAAGCCACCUGGUUGGAAGGGAGGUGACGGUAGUGGUAGAAGAAGCACCGGCUAACUACGUG
rnacentral:rRNA from 1 species